rnacentral:rRNA from 1 species
AGUAACGGCGAGUGAAGCGGUAACAGCUCAAAUUUGAAAUCUGGCUCCUCGGGGCCCGAAUUGUAAUUUGUAGAAGAUGCUUUGGGUCUGGGCCUGGCCUAAGUUCCUUGGAACAGGACGUCGUAGAGGGUGAGAAUCCCGUAUGCGGCUGGCGCCCGUGCCCGUGUAAAGCUCUUUCAACGAGUCGAGUUGUUUGGGAAUGCAGCUCUAAAUGGGUGGUAAAUUUCAUCUAAAGCUAAAUAUUGGCCAGAGACCGAUAGCGCACAAGUAGAGUGAUCGAAAGAUGAAAAGCACUUUGGAAAGAGAGUUAAACAGUACGUGAAAUUGUUGAAAGGGAAGCGCUGGCAACCAGACUUGGGCGCUGUUGAUCCGCUAGGGUUCUCUCUAGGGCACUCGGCAGUGCGCAGGCCAGCAUCGGUUUGGGGGGUUGGAGAAUGGCUGGUGGAAUGUGGCUGUCUUCGGGCAGUGUUAUAGCCACCGGUGGCAUGCAGCCUCCCCGGACCGAGGACCGCGCUUCGGCUAGGAUGCUGGCGUAAUGGUUGUCAGCGACCCGUCUUGAAACACGGACCAAGGAGUCUAACAUCUAUGCGAGUGUUUGGGUGUUAAACCCAUACGCGGAAUGAAAGUGAACGUAGGUGAGAACCCGCAAGGGUGCAUCAUCGACCGAUCCUGAUGUCUUCGGAUGGAUUUGAGUAAGAGCAUAGCUGUUGGGACCCGAAAGAUGGUGAACUAUGCCUGAAUAGGGUGAAGCCAGAGGAAACUCUGGUGGAGGCUCGCAGCGGUUCUGACGUGCAAAUCGA